rnacentral:snRNA from 1 species
AUCACUUCUUGGCCUUUUAGCCAAAAUCAAGUGUAGUAUCCAUUCUUGUCAUCUUAAUACCAGGCGUAUUUCAGUUUGAGGUCUUGAUAUUAGUGUGGGUACGAACAGUGGAAGGACAACUUGGAGCUUGUUCUAUGCCUUGAUGCAGCAGUGCAGUAACUUGGGACAGGGCGAUGGGA